rnacentral:lncRNA from 1 species
AUGGUCAGCAUCAUUCCAGCCACCAGCACAAGGCAAAAACAUGUACACACAGAGCACCUCCUGCCCAGAGCACCCAUCAGACAUCCCACCUCACCUGCUGACACAAUCCUUCAGCACCCACCAAAAUCAAAUGCAGCUAAUUGGAAGGUGAUGACAGCCAGGAGACUGCUGGAUUUACAUGCUAAUUCCUCUAUUUUAGCGUCACACAGCCCAAGUACAGGUAAAAUGAGACUCCUCACUUCAUUCCAGACUAUUUCCUGCCUUCUCCACAUUACACAUGAAUACACACACACACACACACACACACACACACACACACACAAACACA